rnacentral:rRNA from 1 species
AUUGAACGCUGGCGGCAGGCCUAACACAUGCAAGUCGAAUGGUAACAGGAAACGGCUUGCUGUUUCGCUGACGAGUGGCGGACGGGUGAGUAAUGUCUGGGAAACUGCCUGAUGGAGGGGGAUAACUACUGGAAACGGUAGCUAAUACCGCAUAACGUCGCAAGACCAAAGAGGGGGACCUUCGGGCCUCUUGCCAUCAGAUGUGCCCAGAUGGGAUUAGCUAGUAGGUGGGGUAACGGCUCACCUAGGCGACGAUCCCUAGCUGGUCUGAGAGGAUGACCAGCCACACUGGAACUGAGACACGGUCCAGACUCCUACGGGAGGCAGCAGUGGGGAAUAUUGCACAAUGGGCGCAAGCCUGAUGCAGCCAUGCCGCGUGUAUGAAGAAGGCCUUCGGGUUGUAAAGUACUUUCAGCGGGGAGGAAGGGAGUAAAGUUAAUACCUUUGCUCAUUGACGUUACCCGCAGAAGAAGCACCGGCUAACUCCGUG